AACAUACCCUUUGGUUCGGAACAACGCCGGGAAACUGGCGCUAAUACCGGAUACGCCCGAGAGGGGAAAGGCUUGCUGCCGAAGGAUUGGCCCGCGUUCGAUUAGCUUGUUGGUGAGGUAACGGCUCACCAAGGCGACGAUCGAUAGCUGGUCUGAGAGGAUGGCCAGCCACAUUGGGACUGAGACACGGCCCAAACUCCUACGGGAGGCAGCAGUGGGGAAUAUUGGACAAUGGGCGCAAGCCUGAUCCAGCCAUGCCG
rnacentral:rRNA from 1 species